rnacentral:rRNA from 1 species
AUGGUUGUCGGUCAGCUCGUGUCGUGAGAUGUUGGUUAGUACCGCAACGAGCCGCAACCCUACUUGUUAGUUGCCAUCAUUCAGUUGGGCACUCUAGCGAGACUGCCGGGUAAUAAACCGGGAGGAAGUGGGAUGACGUCAAAUCAUCAUGCCCCUUAUGACCUGGGCUACACACGUGCUACAAUGGUUGGUACAACGAGUUGCGAGUCGGUGACGGCGAGCUAAUCUCUUAAAGCCAAUCUCAGUUCGGAUUGUAGGCUGCAACUCGCCUACAUGAAGUCGGAAUCGCUAGUAAUCGCGGAUCAGCACGCCGCGGUGAAUACGUUCCCGGGCCUU